CUGGCUCAGGAUGAACGCUGGCGGCGUGCCUAAUACAUGCAAGUCGAACGCUAACCUCGGGUUAGAGUGGCGAACGGGUGAGUAACACGUAGGUAACCUGCCCAUAAGACGAGGAUAACUACUGGAAACGGUAGCUAAUACUGGAUAGUAUAUAGAAUCGCAUGAUUUUAUAUUUAAAGGUGCUUCAAAGCAUCACUUAUGGAUGGACCUGCGGGCGCAUUAGCUAGUUGGUGAGGUAACGGCCCACCAAGGCGACGAUGCGUAGCCGGACUGAGAGGUUGAACGGCCACAUUGGGACUGAGACACGGCCCAGACUCCUACGGGAGGCAGCAGUAGGGAAUUUUCGGCAAUGGACGCAAGUCUGACCGAGCAACGCCGCGUGAAGUGAUGAAGUUCUUCGGAACGUAAAAUUCUUUUAUUUGGAAAAAACGUAUAUUGUAGGAAAUGACAGUAUAGUGAUGGUACCAAAUGAAUAAGCCCCGGCUAACUAUGUGCCAGCCGCAGC
rnacentral:rRNA from 1 species